AUCAAUUAAUAUUGUCAUUCGUAUAUAGGAGGAUAUAAAUUAAAGUCUAAAGAUGCUUGCAUAUCUCAUUGUGGUACAAAAGUCACUGGACAACCCUUGUCAGAUUGUAAAAUUGCAUGCACUUUCAUCUUCC